UCUGGUAGCGAUAUCGUCGGGGUCACACCGGUUCCCAUUCCGAACACCGUAGUUAAGUCCGAUAGAGCCGAUGAUACUGGGGUUCGACCCUGGGAAAGUAGGUCACUGCCAGAG
rnacentral:rRNA from 1 species